rnacentral:misc_RNA from 1 species
GAUGAAGAACGUAGCGAAAUGCGAUACGUAAUGUGAAUUGCAGAAUUCAGUGAAUCAUCGAAUCUUUGAACGCAUAUUGCGCUCUUUGGUAUUCCGAAGAGCAUGCUUGUUUGAGUAUCAGUAAACACCUCAAAGUCUUUUUUUCUUGAAGAAAAAGACCUUGGACUUGAGCAAUCCCAACUCUUCUUUCAGAAGAGGCGGGUUGCUUGAAAUGCAGGUGCAGCUGGACAUUCUCCUGAGCUAAAAGCAUAUUCAGUUAGUCCCGUCAAACGGAUUAUUACUUUUGCUGCAGCUAACAUAAAGGGAGUUUGACCAUUUUGGCUGACUGAUGCAGGAAUUUCACAAGAGUCUUCAAAACGCUCUUGUUAAACUCGAUCUCAAAUCAAGUAAGACUACCCGCUGAACUUAAGCAUAUCAAUAAGCGGAGGA